CCGUAUGUGAUGGUCUUACGGGUGCUCUCGGACACAGACACUAGCUAGAGCCUGCAAAAAUAAAUAUAACACGAAUAAUAUUAUAUUUCACUUUAUUCAUAAAUGAGAAUUAAACUAAAAUAUUAUACCUCUAGGUAGUGUAUGGGCUGGUAUCCUUGGCAACCCCAACACUUUAUACCAGUCGAUAGUGUUACUGGGAGGAUCUUGAGACGUAACCCAAAGAGUCGUCUCCUCAUCCUGAGAUAAACUAAUCUCAAGUAGAGGGAUGAUGGAAUCUAAUAUCUCGAAAUCUCCCCCUAGUAGCCUGCAACUCAGCUAUACGCUGGCAUUACAGCUUCUCAAACCGGUCUUGUAAUUUAAUAUAUGUAUAUGCGAGUUAACUCAGCAUCAUUAUAUAAAUUACGUAAUAUGAUCCUAAAUAAAAAUUAUUAUAGUAGAUGUAUUACUCGUAUAGCUAAUACUACGGGAGACAUCGUCGAAGCUGAAAUCGAAGCCUUCGGCGUAUAGACUAUAUCCCAAAACUCGACCAUAGUAGGAGGUCUACCUUAGCUACUCUGUAUGGCCUAAAUCAUACAUUAAUUAAUAUCACAUUACCUUACUAUAGAUCCCAACAAUAUUAAUCCUCACUAAAUAUAGAUACAUACUGACUUAACCUCCUGAAACGACUACGAUCCAGAAGUAUGUACAAUCCGGAGCUUGCCUCGAUUCUUCUUCAUCUGCUCGGACUUUGUCUUAAAGGCAGCAUCAUCCCAGUAUGUACACAUGGCCUCCCAUGUUGUAUCUGAUACGGUUGGCGGCUGAUGAUCUCGUAUAGUAGUCCCGGACUGGAUGUCAACUACUCGGCUGCCCUCUGCCUCUUCUCGUACAGCCAGCCGACAUAGUUCUUCGAGACGUGUGCAAUAAUAUAUAUACCAGCGUCGUUGUUUACGCCAGAGAUGCCCUCCUCAUAUCUAUAAUAUGUUUAUAAAAAUUCCAUAACGUACGUAUCAGUAAAAAUUUGAACAAUAUGUAAAUAACUAGGAUCAAUUUUUUGAUUUAACAUAUGUAAUUCGACUUACGUGAAACUCGUGCAACAUUGUCACCAUAAAGGAGGCAUUAUAUUGCGUGUACUGGCUAAAUUGCAUGCAACUAGUAGGGAGGUGCUAUAACGCCCCAAAAUCAAGACUAUUUCUCUUAUCGAUCUUGUGCGUUAACAACUAUCUUGUUCUGGUUAUCAAUAAUAUAAUUGAUAAAUUUGCGGAUAAUUUAAAACUUAUCUUUCUGUCUUUUUUUCGUUCCUUGAAUCGCAACUUUUACGAUUCUCUUUUAUUUAAAAAUUAUAUUUAUUUUAUAAUUUAGUUUAUCAAAGUGAUAUGAGUAUAAUAUAACUCAUUUCUUAGCUUAUAUCAUUUCUUAUACAAUAUCAUUUCUAUAAGACAUUACCGUUUAAGGUAAUUGCCAAACUGUAUUUCAGUCCUAACACAAACAAUCUUCAUUUAUCGAAUAACUCAAUAUUUACACAAUUCUCAUUUACACAUAUCAAAAAUCGUCAUUUUGAUGUAAUAUAGUUCCUACUUAAAGGAAAUAGCUUUCCUGCACACAGGCCACUACUCUGUCAUCUGGAUAGCAAGAAAUCGUGUUGCAUAUCAUACCUGUAAAAAAUUAUACUUUUGCAAGACUAAGCUCGACAACCCAGCAAAUCUAACAGUUUUCAUGCUUCAUAUAACACGUAGUUUCAUGCUCAACAUAUAUCUCAUAAUCCUUUAUACCAUUCAUGCAUCAUCACUUUAAACAAUAUAUGUUCAUAUCAUAUAUCACAUAUGUAUUGAGUUCCAUAACUCAAUAAGCUUAGUCAUAAACUGACUUUCACAGUUUAUAGCAUGUAACAUGUAAUUCAACAUAUUCUUAAGGAUAUCAUACAAUAACCAAUUCAUAGAAUCACAAAGAAACUGAAAGACUUGUCUUGAAUGCCGUUUAAUGUUAUAACUUAUCCGCUUUGUGAAGAUACUACAUAAAUUGAGGAUACAUACAUGCACAUAUUAGUUCCACAUAUUAAAUUCACAUACUUAAUGUAAACUAAUUAAUUUACAUUAACUAUAAUCCUUUGUUCUCAUCUUAAAACUAUUUCACAUUUCUUUAGAAACUUUUGUUUAUUAUAACCCUUUUUAUGCCCAAAAGGGUUCUCUCAUAGCUUUAGUAUAUAAAUACUUUACAUUUCAAAACAUAAACCAUUUCUGUCCAUUUGUAGAAAUAUUUCUUGCCUCUAUUUAUAAACUUGGGACUAUAUGACUUAUAAAUAGCUUUUACAUUCCUUUAGAUUUUUUUGAGAUUAUGGCUUUUAAAACACCAAUUCAUUGCAUUUAUAGUUUAUAUAUCCUUUACAAUGCAUUUAUAGAUUUAUUAUGCAUCUAUAUGUAAAUUUAUAGCCAUAUCGUACAUCUGUGCCUUUCUUUGCACAUUUCUAGCUUAACUUCGCUUUUGUAACUUAGACUCCAUUUCGCAUGUAUAGUAGCUUUCCAUACUUAACAUGUUUAUAUAACAAUACUUAUCUCCAUUCCGUGCAUAUAUAUAUGAGGUAUAUAUAUAUAAGGUCUGGAUCUUAAGCUCACCCCUUAUCUAGCUCACCUUGCUCACCCCCCUUUAGCGACGGACCGGGCGACGAUUCGAUCCGUCGCUAUAUAUAGAAUCGUCGUCUUAGCUUUUAGCGACAGACAACAUAUAGCGACGAACCGAACAUAUAGCGACGGACCGAAUCGUCGCCCGGUUCGUCGCUAAAGGGGGGUGAGCUUAAGAUCCGGAUCGUAUAUAUAUAUAUAUAUGUAGACCGGUUCUCUCCAGCGAACUGGAGGCCAGCGAACUGGAGGAAGCGAACUAAGAGCGAACCGGCUAUAGCAACAGUUUUUUUCGUCGCUAUAGCAUAAAAAAUCGGCUUUCUAUGUCGACGAAAAAAAUCUUGAAAUCUGUGUCGCCGCCUUGAAAUACGUUUCACGACAUCAAUUAUUACAUUUUGAUUUGAAAAUUGCAUCGCGGAGUCGGACUGGGCCAGGCUGCCCUUGGCUUGGCCCAACCGGCCUGGACAUAGGCUGUUGGCGAACGUGUUCUGACAUCCACUUUGCACAUUUUUAGUUUUCACCUCGCCCGUCCGAUUCCGAGUAAUUUUGGAUAUGUUAUAGGUGGUAUGUCAACCUAUUUUUAAAAAAAUUCUAGCCAUGCAUUUCAGGAAACCUAAGCUAGAGAAAAGGAGGCGUCAAAAAAGUAGCAAGUGGCUGCCAACAGGUGGUUGGGCUGCUAUGGGCAAACCCACCUUUUCCCGCGUAGCAACUUUGCGAUUUUCUAACUUUUGGCUCACACGUCGGAUCAUGUUAAUUUUCGAAUAUGUUAUACUUGAUAUAUGGGAAUAUUUUUAAAAAAAAUAUUAGCCACCUAUUUCGGGUUCGAUAGGUGGUUCGAAUAACGUGCCAAAAAUGGGUGAGCGCACUAACUUUUACUUUUUCAUUUCGAGUUAAAAAUGUUUUUCGUUCUAAUUUGAUUUUCCUAAACUCUUAAAUUAAUUAUGUAUAAUGUAUAUAAACAUAGCAUUAGUCUCGGCUUCACUUAAUCAUUUAUUUCUAUCAAACACAGUCCAUAGAGGAUUUUUAGCGAACACCUUAUGUGCGUUGUUUUAAAAUGCAGAUUUAAUAACCAUUCAUUUGCUUUCCAAACCCAAUUCAGCCUCCUUAUUACUCAGCACAACCAAUCCUAUACUCCUUGGCUCUAUUUUCAAUCCAUACCAAUCACUUGUACAACUAAAUCAAAUACAUACUAUUAGAUUAUAAACUAACUAGUUUAAUGACUUAUUAGCUUUCAAUUUCAUUGUUUCUAGCAUAACCAAUAUGCCACAUAUAAAUAUCCAUUUCCAAUCCAUAAGGCUAUAAUCAAUCACAGUUAAACUAAUUAAUCAAUUUGAAUAGUUUAACUGUUUUUAUUUUAACUAACUAUUGUUCAUAUACUUGAACAUAAUAUACAUCACCUUUCUUUGCUUGAUGCUUGAUUGUUGUUAUCCUUUUAAGCUUAAUCCCCAGCUUCCCAAUCCAAUUUUUGAAGCUUCAGUUUUUUUUAUUGGUCUAGCCGAAUGGAUGGACUGAAGUUUGGGAGAGGGGUGGCGGGUGGAGCUGAACAAGGAAGGAACGGAAAUGGAAUAGAAAGCUUUGGUUUUUAUAGAACAGUUGAUUUUCCUUUCUUGCUUGCUACGAACUUUACUUGAUCCUACUCUCAAAACUUGAUUGUCCCGAAAUAGGUUGGCUAAAUGUUUAAGCCUCUAUCUACUGUAGGCUACACCUCCUGCUUCCUUAUGCUCACAUUCAGUUAGAAACUCUUGG
rnacentral:lncRNA from 1 species